UACGUAGGGCGCAAGCGUUGUCCGGAAUUAUUGGGCGUAAAGAGCUCGUAGGCGGUCUGUUGCGUCCGCUGUGAAAUCCCAGGGCUUAACCCUGGGCUGGCAGUGGAUACGGGCAGACUAGAGGUAGGUAGGGGAGAAUGGAAUUCCCGGUGUAGCGGUGAAAUGCGCAGAUAUCGGGAGGAACACCGGUGGCGAAGGCGGUUCUCUGGGCCUUACCUGACGCUGAGGAGCGAAAGCGUGGGGAGCGAACAGG
rnacentral:rRNA from 1 species